GACAAAAAGGCUCCGACGCCACUCUGAUCCACCUCUGCAUUCAUCUUGUCCCCAGUUGCAGAUCAUCUACCCUGUGAACGAGCCCACUUCAGCCUCUCAAUGGCAAUGGAGACAGGAACAACAAAGAAGGGGUAUCUUAACAAGAGGCACAAACCAUUACACUGCGCCGUCAAGUCUGUUCUAUGGAGGAGAUGUGGAAGUGGACAGAAAAAGGACUUGAUUUGUUAAUUAAUUUAAAAGUUGAAAGUUAGAAAUAUAAGGAGUCAGACAAGCUAGUAGUCUGAUUAUUCUAAACCCUUAUUAACAUUUAAAAUCAGUCAAGAAAGUGAUUUUUGAAUGUUAUUUUUAAGUAAGUGUAGAACCUGUCCCAAAUGGAGGCAUGGUGCCUCAUGGUUAGUGCACUCCAUUCCCGGCUGGGGACAUUGUGUUGUGUUCUUGGGCAGCACACUUUACUCUCACAGUGCCCAUCUCGACCCAGGUGUUAAAAUGGGAACAGGCAAAUUGAUGCUGGGGGUAACCCUGUGAUGGACGAGCAUUCCAUCUGGGGGUAGAACUACAGCUGUACUCCUAAUUUCUUCAUGCUACAGAAACCAGAGACAAACUCAGCCACUUGGCUUGUAUGCAGACUUAAGCUUAGAAGCUACCCCAAGUGUAAAGAUGUAAAAUUAACUGAAACAUUAGAUAUGCAAUAUUGCAGUGCAUAAAGAAGACUGAUUAGACUUGCUAAAUGUACAGGUACAUUAAAUGCAAAGCUGGACUUUGAAAGUAAGAAGGAAUAUAGUUAAUAGACUGAAAGCAGUCUCGUCCCCAGUCUGUUGAUCAAUUUGUUUUACCAUUGACUUACAUAAUUUAAGUCAAUCCAGUUAAGAAUGAUCUAGUGGCAAAAGUGAAAGUUAAAAGAAUGUAACUACAACCAACAUUGAAUAUAACAUUUCCAUGCAAAUAAAACCUGUGUACUUCAAUUGCA